AUGGCGACCUCGCUCCUGUCGCGCACUGCCUCGGCCGCCUUCGCCCUCCGCGGCGGCGCCCGGCUCCUCCCCAAGGAAAUACCCCUUCCUCCUCCCCUCCUCCUCCCGCUCCUCCUCAUCCUCCUCGCCACCGCCGCCGGCAUGCUCCCCGCGGGCAGGGUCGGAUGGCCGUGCGGCGGAGGUCGGGUGCGGGGCGGCACUGUCACCGUCAAUGACGCGGUUCGGGGGGUUUCUGUUGCUUCUCCCUACCUGGUUGGUGCUUGCAGGAACCAAGGCAGAUCGGUGGCGAAGAGCUCAUUCAAGCUGGGGCACCCGCUCGGUUCGUCUCGUCUUCUCAUGGUGAUCGUUGAGAAGGCUGGGAAGAGUGAUAUUCCUGACAUUGACAAGGAAAAGGGAUCUUUUAAUGCAUCAAAACUUCGUCUCAUGUUACAUCGAAGUAUGAGAUUGGCCAUUAACGACCAUCAGUUGUUCUAUAUUCUAAUAGCCGUCACCCAACUAUACAGGUACCUUGUUCCUUCUGACCUUACAGUUGGACAGUUUGUGUACGUUGUCCGGAAGCGGAUCAAGCUCGGAUUCGAGUACGCCCCAUGCGCUCGGCAUCAGGCACAUAUUCGUGAUACAUCGUCGGCGUUCGACGACGUUCGCGGCCGCUCUGAUCCGCCGCCGGCCUCCCCGACCACACCUCCAGGUUCGCGCUGUUGCUUGCUCCUGCAUACUGAUGCUGCUCUACUACUGCUGCUGCUUGCUGUUGCUGCCCGCCGCCACUGCUACCUCGCCCCGCCUCUGCCUCAGGCCUGCACACCCCCACUUGCUGCUACCUUCUGCUGUUGCCGCGGCUGCCGUCGCCGCGCGCUGUGUUGGCCCCCUGCUCACGGGCUGCGCCCGCGUCGCCCGCUCGCCAGUCGACGCCCGCCCUGGCCGGAGCCGUCCCCAUCCGCGCACGCGGCCUACUGCCCCUCACGCCAUCUGCGCCCGCCGCUUCCUGGCGUGGCUGUUCCUGAGCUCGGCCAUGUUGGUGCCGUGAUGCGCGUGCGCUUGCUCGGCUGCUUACUUCUGCUGCUCGCUAGGUGCUGCUGCUCGUGCUUAGCUACUGCUAUUGCCCCUCAAGCGCUGCCCUACUGGUUGUGCUGCUUCUACUCCGCCUACUGUUGCUGGCCAUGGCCAUGUCCAUGGCUGUGUGCUUUGUGA
rnacentral:rRNA from 1 species